ensembl:lncRNA
GUUUCUUGGUGGUUUUUCUUUUUUAUUCCCAGAAACCUUAACAGAUGCUUAAUAGAAUGAGCUAUUAAUAAUAGACCUGAUUUUUACGAUAAGUGCCUCCAGCCAUUCAGCGUUAGCAAAGCAGUAACAGUCCGCAGUACUUCUGACACAUGGCUGGAAGCAGGGAGAACUGCAGCACCCUGUGACAGGAAUUCCAGUAUUUACCUGUACAGUGCGUGUGAAACUCCUGCAGACAGCUUGCUUGUUCUCAACCCAGAUGGACGUGGGGUGUUCACCACACCAGAGGCCCACAGGACAGGGCCAUGGCAAACCAUGAAGGCCACGGUCAGCCCAGUGUCACAGGGAGCUCUUGGUGUGGCACAGAGCAGAUGUAUCCCUGCACCCUGUUCUCUGUCAGCUUGGUGAGGACAUGGUGCUGUCAGGAGACUUGGAAGGCAGAUUACCACCCAACAGCCAACUGGGAGCUUUCUGGAUAUUCCACAUCUUGUUUGGCAGGGGUGCAGGCAGCCUUUGGGGCUUCGUGGGAAGAAGGAGUGCUGAAGUGAGGACUACUUCAAGGGGGACCUGUGCUUUAACUUUGCUUAACUUUGACUGCUUCCUUCACUCAGGCCAAGAGGCUGGAUGUCAGAUUUGCAGGCAAACAUGCUCUGAGGAGGUUCACAGGGCCCCUUCUGUUGCUGUACAUGGUGCUGUGAGAUGCAACAGUGCUUAAGAAAUUGCAGUUGAUCAGUAAUUGAAAUGAGAAACUGAAAGUUAACAACUAUUCCCCCCAAAACAACUGGGGAAAAAUGUCCCUUUGCAGCUUUGUUUCUUCCUGUCCUUUUCCCCACACCAGAAGGGCUUUUCUUCUACCUCUUUGUAGAAGAGAGGUGAUGACCAGCCUGGUUUGAUCACUGUUCCAUUUGAAAUGGCAACUCUUUGCGAUACCAUCCAGAAGCGCCUCACAGCCCACUGUUCGCUCCUCCAUUUGUGUGACUAUGGUGAUGGGAGGAAGUGCAGGGAUCGGUCAGCAGCUGUGCCCACUGCAGGGAAGGCUGUGGCCGUGGUAUUCCUCAGGCUAAAUCCAGCCCUGUGCACACCCAGUUGGUUUGCUUCAUUUUUUGCAGAGCAAUUCUUUCAAUUCUUUUUUAGCGCUGUUUGCAGAGAGGCAGACGCACUGGAAAACUGUUUCAGUUUUGUGCAUAUGCAUGAACACACACACCUGCAUACAAAGCCUUCUAUUUUCAGUCCCUCUACGAGAGUCUAAGAUUACUUUCUUGUACAGUUAAGAUAGAUCACAGCAACAAAUUUCAGCUAUUUAUGCUCUGUGAAAUAACUUUCUUUACUAUAUUGUCUGAAUAGCUCCCAAAUAGUUUUUUUUUCACCUAUGCCCUGUUAAACAGUACAAAAUGUUGAUAUUCUUAAUGUUAUGAAGUCUAGCAGGAGGGAAAAAAAAGGUACAUGAUGCAUUAGUUAAGGAUUUGUAGUGAUGUAUGGUGCAGUGUAAUGCUGCAAAAGUGGAAAAUUAUGUGUUUUUAUAGUACCUAAUGAUAGGCACUUCCAAAGAUGAUGUUAUGGAUACCAGCAUUGUUGGUGUGUAUUUUGGUGUCACGUUCUGACAUUUUAUAUACAUGCAAUUAUACUUUCAUUUCCAGGAGUAAUUUAAGUCUCAGCUCAACCAGAGCAGCCAGGAGGAGGCCAGCGGGCGGUGGUGCUGUGGUCUGUGAGCUGAGGUAAAGCACCGCCUGCUCUCAGUGCUCAGAGCUCUAGGCAUUCCUCACCGUGGG